rnacentral:rRNA from 1 species
GACGAACGCUGGCGGCGUGCUUAACACAUGCCAGUCGAACGGUGAAGGGGUCUGCUUUUGUGGGCCCUGGAUGAGUGGCGAACGGGUGAGUAACACGUGAGUAACCUGCCCCCUUCUUCUGGAUAACCGCAUGAAAGUGUGGCUAAUACGGGAUAUUCUGGGUCUGUCGCAUGAUGGGUCUGGGAAAGAUUGCGCCUUUGGGUGUUUUUGGUGGGGGAUGGGCUCGCGGCCUAUCAGCUUGUUGGUGGGGUGAUGGCCUACCAAGGCGGUGACGGGUAGCCGGCCUGAGAGGGUGGACGGUCACACUGGGACUGAGACACGGCCCAGACUCCUACGGGAGGCAGCAGUGGGGAAUAUUGCACAAUGGGCGCAAGCCUGAUGCAGCGACGCCGCGUGAGGGAGGGAGGCCUUCGGGUUGUAAACCUCUUUCGCCAGUGAAGCAGGCCUGCUCCUUGUGGGUGGGUUGACGGUAGCUGGAGAAGAAGCGCCGGCUAACUACGUG